UACAGAGGAUGCAAGCGUUAUCCGGAAUUAUUGGGCGUAAAGCGUCUGCAGGCGGCUUGUUAAGUCCGACGUGAAAUCCCAGGGCUCAACCCUGGACAGGCAGUGGAAACUACCAAACUGGAGUCAGGUAGGGGCAGAGGGAAUUCCAGGUGGAGCGGUGAAAUGCGUAGAGAUCUGGAAGAACACCGGCGGCGAAGGCGCUCUGCUGGGCUGACACUGACGCUGAGGGGCGAAAGCGUGGGGAGCGAACAGG
rnacentral:rRNA from 1 species